rnacentral:rRNA from 1 species
GAUGAACGCUGGCGGCGUGCCUAAUACAUGCAAGUCGAGCGAACAGACGAGGAGCUUGCUCCUUCGACGUUAGCGGCGGACGGGUGAGUAACACGUAGGUAACCUACCUAUAAGACUGGGAUAACUUCGGGAAACCGGAGCUAAUACCGGAUAAUAUUUCGAACCGCAUGGUUCGAUAGUGAAAGAUGGCUUUGCUAUCACUUAUAGAUGGACCUGCGCCGUAUUAGCUAGUUGGUAAGGUAACGGCUUACCAAGGCAACGAUACGUAGCCGACCUGAGAGGGGGACCGGCCACACGGGAACUGAGACACGGGCCAGACUCCCACGGGGGGCAGGAGUAGGGAAUCUGCCGAAAUGGGGGAAAGCCUGAGGGGGCAACGCCGGGGGAGUGAGGAAGGUCUGCGGUUCGUAAAACUUUUUUAUUAGGGAAAAAAAAACGGGUAAAUAACUGUGCACGUCUUGACGGUACCAAAUCAAAAAGCCCCGGCUAACUACGU